CCUACGGGAGGCAGCAGUGGGGAAUAUUGCACAAUGGGGGAAACCCUGAUGCAGCGACGCCGCGUGAGUGAAGAAGUAUUUCGGUACGUAAAGCUCUAUCAGCAGGGAAGAAAAUGACGGUACCUGACUAAGAAGCCCCGGCUAACUACGUGCCAGCAGCCGCGGUAAUACGUAGGGGGCAAGCGUUAUCCGGAUUUACUGGGUGUAAAGGGAGCGUAGACGGGAGCUCAAGUCUGGAGUGAAAUCCCAUGGCUUAACCAUGGAACUGCUUUGGAAACUGUGCAGCUAGAGUGCAGGAGAGGUAAGCGGAAUUCCUAGUGUAGCGGUGAAAUGCGUAGAUAUUAGGAGGAACUCCAGUGGCGAAGGCGGCUUACUGGACUGUAACUGACGUUGAGGCUCGAAAGCGUGGGGAGCAAACAGGAUUAGAUACCCGGGUAGUC
rnacentral:rRNA from 1 species